rnacentral:rRNA from 1 species
GAUGAACGCUGGCGGCGUGCCUAAUACAUGCAAGUCGAGCGAACAGACGAGGAGCUUGCUCCUCUGACGUUAGCGGCAGACGGGUGAGUAACACGUGGAUAACCUACCUAUAAGACUGGGAUAACUUCGGGAAACCGGAGCUAAUACCGGAUAAUAUAUUGAACCGCAUGGUUCAAUAGUGAAAGACGGUUUUGCUGUCACUUAUAGAUGGAUCCGCGCCGCAUUAGCUAGUUGGUAAGGUAACGGCUUACCAAGGCGACGAUGCGUAGCCGACCUGAGAGGGUGAUCGGCCACACUGGAACUGAGGCACGGUCCAGACUCCUACGGGAGGCAGCAGUAGGGAAUCUUCCGCAAUGGGCGAAAGCCUGACGGAGCAACGCCGCGUGAGUGAUGAAGGUCUUCGGAUCGUAAAACUCUGUUAUUAGGGAAGAACAAAUGUGUAAGUAACUAUGCACGUCUUGACGGUACCUAAUCAGAAAGCCACGGCUAACUACGUG